UCUUUUUGAACUAAAUGACAAAACACUGCGUGUGUGAGAAGUGGGUUUGGGUUUGGGUGUAGCCUCUGCUGCAGCCUGGCCAUUGCCCCCUGCACAGGGCUGAGAUGAUAGUGCCGUGUCCCUGUAGUGUUUGCUAAUGAAUGAGCCUAGGUGUGCAUAUUCAUGUAAAGCAGGUUACAAAGGCACUGUUGGUUUAGUGGGCCCUUCAGCCACUGGCUCACACUGGGGCCAUGGCUGCUCUCAGUGGGUUCACCCCUCUGGUGCCGAGCAAACACACCGAGCGCUCUGAUUGGUCGAGCACGCCGUCCAAUCAGCGCGCCGCAGCCCGGCUCCGUACUACUGCUGCUGGCUCGGCCUCAACGCGCCCAUUCAUUGGCUCCUCGGCUCGACUAUUCUAUAUGAAUCAGGGCGCCAAUUAUGCAUUUUCCUUGCCGUGUUUCCUCUCUUUGGCUUUGUCAUCAUAAGGCAUAAAGAUGUAACGAAACACGAGCCGGGAGCCAGAUCCGCGGCGCAUUCCCCCCCUCCUUAUAACGGUUCUCUGCUUUUCAGGAACUUUAUGUUGUGUUUACAUUCACGGGGCGCUCCUAUAAAUAGCUUAAACUAGCGGGGAAUAAAAGAGAGCGUUUAAAAGUAGCUUUUACGACGUCUAAUACUCACUUUCAAUCUUUUUAUAAUUUGUUUCAAGUUUCAGCUUCCUCUGAAAAAGUUGCUCCAGAACUUUCCAGAUCCAUAUAUUCCCUGUGUAUCUGCCGAUUUAUCCAGCACGGGCGCUUCCCGUUGGCCUAGCUGGGCUCAUACAAUUUUUUAUAACCCGGUUUAUGUGGCUUUGAUGGUUACAUCUGCGGCCGAAACAACGAAACGGAGGGAGCUUGUGUUUUGUGUGCACGGCUGUCCUCUGCAGAGCUGAACGUAUGGAGACAGCGGUCAUGUGAGUGCUCGGUUGGUCUGUCGGUUUAAAUGAACUGAUGCACGGCUGCAGCCUGUCCGAGUACGUGUGUGUGUGUGUGUGUGUGAGAGAGAGAGAGAGAGAGGGAGAGAGAGAGAGAGAGAGAGAGAGAGAGAGUGGCUAAAGGGCUCUGCAGGAGGAGUAGUGAAUGUAUCGCUGAGGAAUGUACAGAAAGUCUCCCCGCCCCCAGUUUCUCUCAGGACUCCUCGCUAUGGACAAAUUCCAUAGGGGGCCAAACUGACAUAAAGUUUCAGACUAGACUGCAUCCUAUGUGGGAAGAUUGCAGCGGUUAGUGUCAGUGCAGGGAGAGAGAACUGACAAAAUCGAUCUGGUUAAACAUAGUCGAGGUUAUUUCUAGAGGGAAGAGAUUGUUUAAGUAAAAUGAGAGGAGCAAAAAAAACAAAAAAACAAAAAACGCAGCUUAUAGCCCAACUUUGUUGAGCUGCUGGCCUCACUCCAAGAUAUAGUCUACGUCGCCAAGGCUCUUUCACAAAAAACCCCUUUUAGGCUACAGUGAAUCAAGGGAUUCUGUUUGACCGUUGGAAGCUACAAAAAGCCAGUGGCUGACCGCUUCGGACAGAGUCAGGGAACAGUGUUGGUGAACGCCAUGUUGAGGAGAGCCUCACUGGAUGCAAACACAAUGUUCCUGAUCGCUGCUUAAUGCAAGGAUCUGGGCUCCACACAGCUUUUUUUUCCGGCCGCCAACAAGUGCCUUUAACGCAGCCUCCAAAACUGAACCAAACCAACAGCAAACAGACAAGAAAAAUGUGUUUGCUGCUGCUGGGAUGACACCCUUCAUCUCAUUAGAAAAUGGCGGUUUGUGCCCCCCCCUCUUCAAAACACAAGCCAAAGGAAUAUUUCUGUUUAAAAGCAGUAAAUAACGAGUUAACACUUGUUGGUAAAAUGCAGAAAGAGCAAAUACAUUUCUGUGAACAUCUCUGUUAUUUUUAAUAGGGUUAAGCUUGUAAAGAAGCUGCAGCUUUUUCCUGAUUUCUCGUCACCCUGCACUUUUUGUUCAGUCAAAUCUUGGAAAUUAGUGUGAAAAAGUUGAUCCAGUCUAGUUCAGCAGUAAAUGAAAAGAUCAUUUAAAUGUGGGGAUAUUUUAUACGAAUCAAGAGUUCCUUUGUUUUGCCGAGAACAGCUUUAAAAGCUAUUAAUAGCAGCCUAAUGCAGUCACCGCCAUCCUAUUGUUUUGUCUGUGUGCAGCAACUUUCUUUAUAUUUUUAGUGAAAUAUAUAUUUAAAGCUGCUAAUUUGGUUAAAUUCUGUGCACUGCAUUUCAUACGUUGCAUGGUGUGUAAAAGGAAUAACUGGAUGUUCUUUUUUGUUUUAAUUUUUCACUAUUUCAGCAAAAAAUGUAGCUUAUUGUAACAAACAUCUGUUGAUUUUUUAAUUUUAUUGAAAUGUGGAGAUGGCUGAUUUUUUUGCUCCUGAUGCCUUUUGGUCAGAUUAACACCACAUGUUCGUGCAGAACAAAAGUUUGAUGAAAGUGGGUGUUUUCACGUACAGUCACAUGAAUAUUUGCAGACUUUGUCACACGUUGCAGCUAUACUGUACGGCCAUGCUUUAGCAUGAGGCUUUGUCUUCCCUGAAGGAAAACUCCUCUUUGGCUGCUGUUGUUUACUGCUUUCAGCACCUUGAUUGAUUAGUUACACUGUGUUGACAGAAAUUCUCUCUAAUCAGCUCAAAAGCAAUCAUCUUUUUUAAUAUGUUGUUUUUUUUGAAAGAGGAGAGAAACUUGAUUAGUUGUGCUUCAAGUUUUUACACUUGGAAUUUCACAUUAGAUUGUGUUUAUUGUAAAAAAUUAAGUGUAUUUUUUGUCGUUUCUGGAAUGGUCUAAGUUGUGUAUUCUCUCCUAUUAGAAAUAUAGCUGUUAAUUACUGCAUUUGGAUCUUAAAUAUUAAAGUAAAAGUAUUGAGGGGGUAAUUCUGUAUUAACUUGAUGAUUUUGGGUAUUCAUUGUCAUUAAGAAAUACAAAUGAUUUCUGUGCAUUUUAACAGGUUUUUGAACCAGAAGGUUUUUAAAUGUUGAAGCAGAAUAAUUAAGUUUUUGUGCUGUUUGUGGAUUGUCGAUCGAAGUUAAAUCUGAGGUGUAAAUAUGUACAAAACAUUUCAAGUUUCAAAUAGUUUGUAAAUUGAUGAGGAAUUUUUGAUUGUUUCAUGUUGAUAGAAAUUAGCUCAUGUUUUUACAAAAGUAAUAAAGGACAUUUACUGCAAAAAA